rnacentral:misc_RNA from 1 species
GAUGAAGAACGCAGUGAAAUGCGAUAAGUAAUGUGAAUUGCAGAAUUCAGUGAAUCAUCGAAUCUUUGAACGCACAUUGCGCCCGUCAGUAUUCUGGCGGGCAUGCCUGUUCGAGCGUCAUUACGCCCCUCAAGUCCCCUGUGGACUUGGCGUUGGGGAUCGGCGAGGCUGGUUUUCCAGCACAGCCGUCCCUUAAAUUAAUUGGCGGUCUCGCCGUGGCCCUCCUCUGCGCAGUAGUAAAACACUCGCAACAGGAGCCCGGCGCGGUCCACUGCCGUAAAACCCCCCAACUUUUUAUAGUUGACCUCGAAUCAGGUAGGACUACCCGCUGAACUUAAGCAUAUCAAUAAGCGGAGGA